GAAGCACCAUAGAACGUGAAAACACCAAAAUGAAUGUAAAAGCAUUGCAACAGCAACAACGGGAGAUGCAAAACACGAGAUCAUUGGUCUACCUCCAAUGCAGUCACUCCUUUUGUGGCUUUCUUACUCAAGUAAACCAUAUAAGAUCCAUAAUACAGUGAAAAUAUAGCAUCUACCCAUUUUAUGGUAUCCAUUACAGAAGCACAAUUAUUGAAGGAGAGUUGAAUGUAUUCAUGGUCUUGGAACAUACAUCUUUGGAACCCCAUACACUAAACUACAAAUGGCUACAAAAGAAAACAAAUGGAGAAAUGCUCGAGCGGGCUAUAUGUACAGGUACCUUGUCUGUAGAUAGCUACAGUCAGACACGAGGUAUACAUAUGGGAUGAUGUGUUAUGAUUCUUCAACCCUGUAGUCAUUUUUAAGAUGAGAAAAAUGCAACCAAAGAUGUAAGAGGUGUCUAAAUAAAUUACAAAUCCAUGCAGCAGACUUAUUCCCAUUUAAAUGUCUGAAAGAAAGGUCAAAAUUGAAAUUGAUAGGUUUUAAUGCCAAGAACAGAAGAUACUCAGUGUGUACAUGA